rnacentral:rRNA from 1 species
UACGAAGGGUGCAAGCGUUACUCGGAAUUACUGGGCGUAAAGCGUGCGUAGGCGGUUGUUUAAGUCUGUUGUGAAAGCCCUGGGCUCAACCUGGGAAUUGCAGUGGAUACUGGACGACUAGAGUGUGGUAGAGGGUAGUGGAAUUCCCGGUGUAGCAGUGAAAUGCGUAGAGAUCGGGAGGAACAUCCAUGGCGAAGGCAGCUACCUGGACCAACACUGACGCUGAGGCACGAAAGCGUGGGGAGCAAACAGG